rnacentral:rRNA from 2 species
AACUUUCAACAACGGAUCUCUUGGUUCUGGCAUCGAUGAAGAACGCAGCGAAAUGCGAUAAGUAAUGUGAAUUGCAGAAUUCAGUGAAUCAUCGAAUCUUUGAACGCACAUUGCGCCCAUUAGUAUUCUAGUGGGCAUGCCUGUUCGAG